GAUGAACGCUGGCGGCGUGCCUAAUACAUGCAAGUCGAGCGAACAGACGAGGAGCUUGCUCCUCUGACGUUAGCGGCGGACGGGUGAGUAACACGUGGAUAACCUACCUAUAAGACUGGGAUAACUUCGGGAAACCGGAGCUAAUACCGGAUAAUAUAUUGAACCGCAUGGUUCCAUAGUGAAAGACGGUUUUGCUGUCACUUAUAGAUGGAUCCGCGCCGCAUUAGUUAGUUGGUAAGGUAACGGCUUACCAAGGCAACGAUGCGUAGCCGACCUGAGAGGGUGAUCGGCCACACUAGAACUGAGACACGGUCCAGACUCCUACGGGAGGCAGCAGUAGGGAAUCUUCCGCAAUGGGCGAAAGCCUGACAGAGCAACGCCGAGUGAGUGAUGAAGGUCUUCGGAUCGUAAAACUCUGUUAUUAGGGAAGAACAAAUGUGUAAGUAACUAUGCACGUCUUGACGGUACCUAAUCAGAAAGCCACGGCUAACUACGUG
rnacentral:rRNA from 1 species